rnacentral:tRNA from 1 species
GUCUCCGUAGCUCAGCUGGAUAGAGCACGCGCCUCCUAAGCGGAAGGUUGUUCGAAUCCAUUAACCCACAA